GCAAACUUGGUCAUUUAGAGGAAGUAAAAGUCGUAACAAGGUUUCCGUAGGUGAACCUGCGGAAGGAUCAUUACUGAGUGUAACCCUUUUUCGAAGGGUACCUCCCGUCCUUUGCAGGCCCUUUUUAGGGGCUUUCAGACUUUGCUUCGGCGGGGUAACCCGCCGGAACACCCUUAAAAAAUUCUGAUCAAAAUUGUUCAGUCUGAGAAUAUUUUAAAAUUAUAAAAUAAAACUUUCAACAACGGAUCUCUUGGUUCUGGCAUCGAUGAAGAACGCAGC
rnacentral:misc_RNA from 1 species